rnacentral:rRNA from 1 species
AUUGAACGCUGGCGGCAGGCCUAACACAUGCAAGUCGAACGGUAGCACAGAGAGCUUGCUCUCGGGUGACGAGUGGCGGACGGGUGAGUAAUGUCUGGGAAACUGCCCGAUGGAGGGGGAUAACUACUGGAAACGGUAGCUAAUACCGCAUAACGUCGCAAGACCAAAGUGGGGGACCUUCGGGCCUCACACCAUCGGAUGUGCCCAGAUGGGAUUAGCUAGUAGGUGGGGUAAUGGCUCACCUAGGCGACGAUCCCUAGCUGGUCUGAGAGGAUGACCAGCCACACUGGAACUGAGACACGGUCCAGACUCCUACGGGAGGCAGCAGUGGGGAAUAUUGCACAAUGGGCGCAAGCCUGAUGCAGCCAUGCCGCGUGUAUGAAGAAGGCCUUCGAGUUGUAAAGUACUUUCAGCGGGAGGAAGGCGGUGAAGUUAAUAGCUUCACCGAUUGACGUUACCCGCAGAAGAAGCACCGGCUAACUCCGUGCCAGCCGCCGCGGUAA